GCCAGACUCCUACGGGAGGCAGCAGUGGGGAAUAUUGCACAAUGGGGGAAACCCUGAUGCAGCGACGCCGCGUGAGUGAAGAAGUAUUUCGGUAUGUAAAGCUCUAUCAGCAGGGAAGAAAAUGACGGUACCUGAUUAAGAAGCCCCGGCUAACUACGUGCCAGCAGCCGCGGUAAUACGUAGGGGGCAAGCGUUAUCCGGAUUUACUGGGUGUAAAGGGAGCGUAGACGGUGAUGCAAGUCAGAAGUGAAAGCCCGGGGCUCAACUCCGGGACUGCUUUUGAAACUGUGUGACUGGAGUGCAGGAGAGGUAAGCGGAAUUCCUAGUGUAGCGGUGAAAUGCGUAGAUAUUAGGAGGAACACCAGUGGCGAAGGCGGCUUACUGGACUGUAACUGACGUUGAGGCUCGAAAGCGUGGGGAGCAAACAGGAUUAGAUACCCUUGUACUA
rnacentral:rRNA from 1 species